rnacentral:rRNA from 1 species
GAUGAACGCUGGCGGCGUGCUUAACACAUGCAAGUCGAACGAUGAAGCCCAGCUUGCUGGGUGGAUUAGUGGCGAACGGGUGAGUAACACGUGAGUAACCUGCCCUUGACUCUGGGAUAAGCCCGGGAAACUGGGUCUAUUACCGGAUAGGAGCGCCUGUCGCAUGUCGGGUGUUGGACAGAUUUUUCGGUCAUGGAUGGACUCGCGGCCUAUCAGCUUGUUGGUGUGGUAAUGGCUCACCAAGGCGACGACGGGUAGCCGGCCUGAGAGGGUGACCGGCCACACUGGGACUGAGACACGGCCCAGACUCCUACGGGAGGCAGCAGUGGGGAAUAUUGCACAAUGGGCGGAAGCCUGAUGCAGCGACGCCGCGUGAGGGAUGACGGCCUUCGGGUUGUAAACCUCUUUCAGUAGGGAAGAAGCGAAAGUGACGGUACCUGCAGAAGAAGCACCGGCUAACUACGUG